AAAAGCAUUAAAUUUUUGGAACCAUAAAAAGAAAAGAUAAAAGAAAUCAAGUAUGUAUAUUGUUUGGCAAUGGUGGCAGUAGGAGAAGCAGCCAGCUCACAAUCCUUAGGGACCCAUCCUAUCAACAUGGUGUGGCAGCAGUCACCAGCCAUUACAACAGUACCUUCAUCUCUGUCCAGAAGUGGGUUCAUUGAGAAACCCCUUGGAUAUGGUCGAAUUCUCAAGCUUCCCACUUGUAAAAAAUACCCACAUGGUAGAAAGCUCAAAUUCUUUGAUUUCAGAGCUCAAGCUUCAGAAACAACGAAAAUCAGCUCAGAGACGGCUGGAACAAUCUCAAACAAAGCAGAUUCAAAAGAUGAGGAUCUUGCUUUUGUUGCUGGUGCAACUGGCAGGGUAGGCUCUCGAACAGUCAGGGAGCUUUUGAAACUUGGUUUUCGAGUUAGAGCUGGAGUUAGGAGUGCUCAGAAAGCGGAAACUCUUGUGCAGAGUGUCAAGCGGUUGAAGCUUGAUCCUGAAGGAACUACACCUGUAGAAAAGCUUGAAAUUGUGGAAUGUGACUUGGAGAAACAAGAUACAAUUGCACCAGCCAUAGGCAAUGCAUCAGUAGUUAUAUGCUGCAUUGGUGCCAGUGAGAAGGAAAUUUUUGAUAUUACAGGACCAUAUCGAAUUGACUACCAAGCCACAAAGAAUCUUAUUGAUGCAGCCACUGCGGUGAAGGUUAACCACUUUAUUUUGGUUUCAUCUUUGGGAACAAAUAAAGUCGGAUUUCCUGCAGCUAUUCUUAAUUUGUUUUGGGGGGUCCUCAUCUGGAAGAGAAAGGCAGAAGAAGCACUCAUUGCAAGUGGUCUUCCUUACACUAUAGUCAGACCAGGAGGAAUGGAGCGCCCCACUGAUGCUUUCAAGGAAACUCAUAAUAUCACCCUAUCCACUGAAGACACUUUAUUUGGUGGCCUGGUAUCAAAUCUUCAGGUGGCUGAACUCAUGGCCUGCAUGGCCAAAAACCGAAGCCUUUCAUACUGUAAGGUGGUAGAAGUUGUUGCUGAAACAACUGCUCCAUUGAGACCUAUGGAGGAACUUCUUGCAAAGAUACCAUCUCAGCGUGCUGACAUUUCCUCUCCUAAGGAAUAUGAUACUCCCACUAAGCCUGACCCAGCACCUGCUAGGAGCACUGUAACCGAGAAACCAACUACCCCUACUGAGAAGGAGCCUGCACAGGCGAAAGUUCUGGAAACAGAGCCACUCUCUCCCUACACUGUCUAUGACGACUUGAAGCCACCUAGUUCUCCUAGUCCAACACCAGGUAGGCCCAAAGAAGUAAGUUCCAGUGUCUCUGCACCAGCAGAAAAUGUCUCAACUUCCACUGAAGGAAACAGUGUGCCAGCAGCUGUGGCUACUGACAUCACUGAGAAGGAUUCAUCCAAGCAGUCAACUAGUCGUUCUCCCUAUUAUGCAUAUGCCGAUCUUAAGCCCCCUACAUCACCAUCUCCUAGAGCACCAACAAAUGCACCAGCAGACAGUGGGUCCAAAGGUGAUACAUUGUCAGGAAACAGCACAGCUCAAUCUCCAAUAGCUGAGAAACCAGGUGAUGAACAGCCUGAUACCAAACCAACACCAAGACCACUUUCUCCUUUUGCUAUGUAUGCCGAUCUUAAGCCUCCUUCAACGCCAUCUCCUAGAGCACCAACUUCUGCACCAGUGGAUAGUGGGUCUGAAGGUGCUACAUUAUCAGGAAAUAGCACAGCUCAAUCUUCUAUAGCAGAUAAACCAAGUGAUGAACAGCAUAAUACCAAACCAACACCAAGACCACUUUCUCCUUUUGCAAUGUAUGAGGACUUGAAGCCUCCAACAUCGCCGAUACCAUCCCCAAAGAAAUCUUAAAGAGAACAAAACUACCAGCCAAGUCCAAUAAGAACCAUGAAAGCAAAUUGGACCUCACCACUAUAGUUAUGUGAAGCAAGCUAGCAAUUUAACCUGCGGCAGUAUUUUAUGGAAAUUUCUUGUUAUAUGAUGCUGAGAGCCUGAGAUUGUGACUAUAUAUGUCUUAAACACCGAGAAAACAAGAAGAUACACACAUGGCAUGAUGCACCUCACUUGCUAUUUCCUGAUUUCUUUCUCUGUUUGAGAAAGAUAAUUAGAGUCCAGAUGCUGGCUUGAGAGUAGAAACUGUAUGAAAUGGUGAUAUUGCAUCUUUGAUAGGGGAAUACUGUGUUUUGGGAGAAUGAAAAAAAAAAUUCUCUUUGACCAGAAAGAACAGAACCAACAAGCAGUAGCCAUAUGCAUCAUUCAAUGAACUUUAAAUUUUGUUAACAAAAUUGUGGAACAAAAAUAAGAUUUUGCUUAAUAGAUGGUGCAUAAAAGGUGUUAUCAUGUGUAAAAUAUGACUUUGAUGUAUUUAAUUUAGUAGAAUCUGUGUCCAUUCCAUACAAAUUUCUUCAGUACACUAGUAUGAAGGAGCCAUGAUAAUGUUGGGGCAUCUUGUCUGGAUGCAAAGUUGGCAUUUGCUUCUUAAUGUUUAUGAGAUCUAGAUCUACAAACUCAAGCUGUGUGGCCAUAGAGGUCAUGGUUAGCAUUAAACCUUGAAAGUUGUGGCCAUGACUGUUGCUAUGUAUUAGGACAAAAGGAAGAAUUGGGAGUGGAGAUUUGAGCUUUGUGAAGAGAAGUUUUGAAAGAAUAUCUCACGAUUAAGAAGCUUGUCGAUAGCUUCUCAUAAAUUUUUUUUGAUACAAUGUUUAGAAUUAUUUAUAAUGCGUCCUUCAUUUUUAAAUAAAAGAAUAAUGUAUUUCAACGAA